rnacentral:tRNA from 1 species
GGGUAAGUAGUUCAGUGGAUAGAAUAAUCGGCUACGAACCGAUAGAUCGGGGGUUCGACUCCCUCCUUACUCA